UGGUCAGUGGGUGCUGGCUGGCAAAGUACCGCUAUUUUAAUGAAAUAUUAAAUGAUGUUAUAGGCAAUUAAUCUAUUGGUUCAAACUCGAUCUGACUGU
rnacentral:tRNA from 1 species